UGGCAGUGAUGACUAUCUUAGGACACCUUUGGAAUCACUAUGAAAUAAAAACUUCAUUCUGAGUCAU
ensembl:snoRNA SNORD58 Small nucleolar RNA SNORD58